rnacentral:misc_RNA from 1 species
UCUCCGUUGGUGAACCAGCGGAGGGAUCAUUACCGAGUUUUUCUACUCCCAAACCCCUGUGAACUUAUACCUUUAUUAGUGUUUCGACGGGUUAACGCCCCGGAAUGCCCAAAAAGACGCCGACACCAGUCGCCCUCCGUGGUACCCAAACCCUUGUAUUUCUUACUUUGCUUGUCUGAGUGGAAUCAUAUACAAAUGAAUCAAAACUUUCAACAACGGAUCUCUUGGUUCUG